rnacentral:rRNA from 1 species
AAUAAGCUAUUUAAGAGCGUACGGUGGAUGCCUAGGCUCUCAGAGGCGAUGAAGGACGUGAUAAGCUGCGAUAAGCUGCGGGGAUUGGCACACACAAUUUGAUCCGCAGAUUUCCGAAUGGGGAAACCCACUAUAUUGAAGAUAUAGUAUCCGUUAAGGAAGCAAACCCAGGGAACUGAAACAUCUAAGUACCUGGAGGAAUAGAAAACAAAAGUGAUUCCGCUAGUAGUGGCGAGCGAACGCGGAAUAGCCCAAACCAAAAUUGUUUCGGCAAUUUUGGGGUUGUAGGACCACGUUAUUGAAUGUUCAAUGAAUUAGAAUUCUUUGGAAAAAGAAACCAUAGAGGGUGAUAGUCCCGUACAAGUAAAGAGAAUUAUUCAUAGUGGUAUCCUGAGUAGCGCGGGACACGUGUAAUCCUG